AUGCAAGUCGAAGGGGUAUAGUUCUUCGGAGCUAGAGACCGGCGCACGGGUGCGUAACGCGUAUGCAAUCUACCUUUUACAGAGGGAUAGCCCAGAGAAAUUUGGAUUAAUACCUCAUAGUAUGUGAGAAAUCGCAUGGUUUUCACAUUAAAGUCACAACGGUAAAAGAUGAGCAUGCGUCCCAUUAGCUAGAUGGUAAGAGUAACGGCUUACCAUGGCAACGAAGGGUAGGGGUCCUGAGAGGGAGAUCCUCCACACUGGUACUGAGACACGGACCAGACUCCUACGGGAGGCAGCAGUGAGGAAUAUUGGACAAUGGGCGCAAGCCUGAUCCAGCCAUGCCGCGUGCAGGAUGACGGUCCUAUGGAUUGUAAACCGCUUUUGUACAGGAAGAAACACUCCCUCGUGAGGGAGCUUGACGGUACCGUAAGAAUAAGGAUCGGCUAACUCCGUGCCAGCAGCCGCGGUAAU
rnacentral:rRNA from 1 species